AACGAACGCUGGCGGCAGGCCUAAAACAUGCAAGUCGAGCGGGCAUAGCAAUAUGUCAGCGGCGGACGGGCGAAUAACACGUGGGAACAUGCCCUUUGGUACGGAACAACUCAGGGAAACUUGAGCUAAUACCGUAUGUGCCGGUAACGGGAAAGAUUUAUCGCCAAAGGAUUGGCCCGCGUCCGAUUAGCUAGUUGGUGAGGUAACGGCUCACCAAGGCGACGAUCGGUAGCUGGUUUGAGAGAACGAUCAGCCACACUGGGACUGAGACACGGCCCAGACUCCUACGGGAGGCAGCAGUUGGGAAUCUUGGACAAUGGGGGAAACCCGUGAUCCAGCCAUGCCGCGUGAGCGAUGAAGGCCUUCGG
rnacentral:rRNA from 1 species